AGCAGCCGCGGUAAUUCCAGCUCCAAUAGCGUAUAUUAAAGUUGUUGCAGUUAAAAGCUCGUAGUUGAAUUUCGGGGUUAGUAGGUUGGUCAUGCCUCUGGUAUGUACUGGUCUCACUGAUUCCUCCUUCCUGAUGAACCGUAAUGCCAUUAAUUUGGUGUUGCGGGGAAUUUGGACU
rnacentral:misc_RNA from 1 species